AUUUUUUAUUUUUUAUUUUUAAUUGGUUGAGGUUGUUUUAUCUAAUGGCUUAAUUUCACCUGCCAUCAGGGGGUUGUAAGGAUGCAUUACUUCAUUUUUAAUUGGAUCACAAAACUCCCAAACAUCAAUUUAAUUAACAGCUAAAUUACUCUUACUUGAUUCUGUUGGGGCCUUUGGCCAAACACUGAUGUGGCACUUCCAUGACUGGGUUUUUAGUAACUAAAAAUACCCUCUGCUGCAUGUUGCCACACUUUCUUCUCUGUGCAUUGGCUCUCUCUGUCUUUAGUUUCUCUCUCCACUCUCUCUCUAUGUGUAUCCUCUCCCUUUUCUUCUUGCCCCAUACUCUCUCUGUAUCUCUCCCCACUGCCUAUUCCUCUCUGUCCAUCUCUCUAUCUGUGUAAAUCUUUCUCCCUCUCUCAACCAAAACAAACAAAAUCCCCUUUAUUAUCUCUGAUGAUUCGUGUGUGUUUUAGUUGUUUCUUUUUUUUUUUCCUUGGCUUUGAGCGCCAAGAAUUCAAAAUCAGUUACUUUGUUGAAAGUUCCUCAUGUUUUUUAAGCUAAUGUUCAAGCAAUCUCUGAGAAUUCAAAUUUCAAACCCCAAUUUAUUCAAGCUCUGGUGCAAAACCCAUAAAUUCCCCACUGGCCUAAUGCUCCAUGACCGACUCCAAUUUUGGCAGGACAUGGAAUGGCAGAAAUGGUGAAAAUGCUGGUAAAUUUUGGAGUAUUUAUGGUUCAGCUGCCCCGACGAGCAUAAAUAAGUUUCCCAAUGGAAAGUAUGGAUACGAAUAGAAAGAGGAUUGACAACAUCACAAGGGAAAUUUCAGUGAAGGGGACAAUCUGAAAUCCAGUGGGUUAUUGCAUUAUGGUAAUGAAAACAAGGAUUUUCUGAAUGAAAAGGGGUUUGGAGGUUUGAAGAAGGCCAAUUUGCUAAACAGGCUGCUUAAAAGGAUGAGCCUGAAGGUGGGUGUGGAAUAAGGAAGACAGGGAGUGGGAGAGAGAAGAGGAGGCUUGGAGUGGGG
rnacentral:misc_RNA from 1 species